CAAAGGGGGAUUUAGGUCCCAAAGCAUCUUGCUUGCAGCUCUUUGGGAAGCUAAGAAACAACCCGCUCUGCACAGUGCUCUUACAGCCUACCGGGAACAUCUCUUACAAAGGCCUGUGAAACGCAGUUUCUUGGCAGGCCUGAUCUGGCUGAAGUAGAACUUCUGCUAUGGGUCUGCUAUAUUGCCCUACAGCUGCAAGACACGACGUGCUGCCUUGUUUCCAAAGGGGCAUUUAGGCCCCAAACCAUCUUGCUUCCAGCUCUUUUGGCAGCUAAGAAACAACUCGCUCUGCACCGUGCUCUUAUAGCCUACCAGGAACAUCUCUUACAAAGGCCUGUGAAAUGCAGUUUGUUGGCAGGCCUGAUCUGGCUGAAGUAGAACUUCUGCUCUGGGUGUGCUACAUUGCCCUAGAGCUGCCAUGCACUAAGUGCUUCUUUUUUCCAAAGGGCGAGUUGGGCCCCAAAGCAUCUUGCUUCCAGCUCUUUGGGAAGCUAAGAAACAACUCGCUCUCGAAAGUGCUCUUACAGCCUA
rnacentral:lncRNA from 1 species